rnacentral:rRNA from 1 species
CCUACGGGUGGCAGCAGUGGGGAAUAUUGCGCACUGGGCGCAAGCCUGACCCAGCAACGCCGCGUGAAGGAAGAAGUCCCUCGGGUUGUAAACUUCUUUUGUCAGGGACGAAGCAAGUGACGGUCCCUGACGAAUAAGCCACGGCUAACUACGUGCCAGCAGCCGCGGUAAUACGUAGGUGGCGAGCGUUAUCCGUAUUUACUGGGUGUAAAGGGCGUGUAGGCGGGGAAGCAAGUCAGAUGUGAAACUCCAGGGCUCAACCCUGGAACUGCAUUGGAAACUGUUUUUCUUGAGUGAUGGAGAGGCAGGCGGAAUUCCGUGUGUAGCGGUGAAAUGCGUAGAUAUACGGAGGAACACCAGUGGCGAAGGCGGCCUGCUGGACAUUGACUGACGCUGAGGCGCGAAAGCGUGGGGAGCAAACAGGAUUAGAUACCCCAGUAGUC